CAGGAUUCUAAACCUAAAAGAUAUUCAUAUUCAUGGAUGGUGAUUAACAAUCUAUAUCCUUUUACACAUGGUAUUAAUAGUUUUUUUUUUACAAAAGGACAAUGAAAUAUAAUAAGAAAAGAGAGCUACAAAAAAGAAGGGGGACUAUGUCAAGAACCUUCCCUCAAAAUGAGGUAAAUAUAAAGUUAGGCAUUCUUAACUUAUUCUUUAUGAGACUCUCCAUUAUUAAAUUUGGAAUUUCAAGAAUGUAUCUAUAACCAUUUAUCCUAAAUCCCUCAUUGGAAAGGAGAUCCACACACAUUUCCCUCAUAAUAUACAUGAGUUGCCAUAAAAUGGAAAGUCUUUAUGAAGUUUUGACAAUUUCUUCAUUUGUGCCUUAGGUGUCAAGGAACCAAUGAGGCGGAGCUAAAAGUAAAAACCACCAUGGAGGAAUUGGACUCUAGCUAGAGAUGUGUCUAGCUGUUGGAUUAUGCAAUCUCUAUGGCUUUGAUAACACCAACUAAUUCUACAUAGAAAGCAUCGUGGUGGCCCAUGUUAUCUAAAAACCUACAAAAGAAUCAGAAUCAUGGUUCCUAAACAGACCUCCAUGGGCUGAGGUGGUUGAGGUUGAUGCCCCAUUUGUGUUAGCAUCGAUCCAACUGGAAGAGGGAGGCUCCACAUGACUCCAAUUAUUUAAGGAGAGCGAAGAGGUGGAUUCCAACAUCAAAAAGCUUCAGGAUCCUUAAAUCACAUGGUAUUGGUAGUUAUGUAAGAAAUAUUGCAAACAUUUGUGACUGCCUCAACAAAAAAUUUGUUUUUUUAGUAUUCGGGAUCUAGGACCAGUGCGAGUUUCUGGGUAGAGGAGGUCAUCCACGGUGGUUGAGCGAGGAGAAUAAAGAGUUGAGUCGACGAUGUUUCAAAGUCGCCAAACGUCAUUUUACUAUCCUUCAAUGACUUUUCAAAUGUAUAAUUAAUAAUUAAUAAUACACGAACUAUAUAUUAUGUUUGAUAUGUUUUUUAUUGAAUAUUUCUUUUACAAAUAUGAUGAUAUAAAAUAGAAGAUAAUAUUGAGA
rnacentral:lncRNA from 1 species